rnacentral:rRNA from 1 species
CGGCAACAGCUCAAAUUUGAAAUCUGGCUCUUUCAGGGUCCGAGUUGUAAUUUGUAGAGGAUGUUUCGGCGUCGGCCCCGUGUUAAGUCCCUUGGAACAGGGCGUCAAAGAGGGUGAGAGCCCCGUUUUGGCUCGGGUGUCCUUGGCCAUGUGAAACUCCUUCGAC